ACUGUGAAACUGCGAAUGGCUCAUUAAAUCAGUUAUCGUUUAUUUGAUUGUACGUUUACUACUUGGAUAACCGUGGUAAUUCUAGAGCUAAUACAUGCGAAGAGUCCCGACUUCUGGAAGGGAUGUAUUUAUUAGAUUCAAAACCAAUGCGGGUUCUGCCCGGUGCUUUGGUGAUUCAUAGUAACUGAUCGAAUCGCAUGGCCUUGCGCUGGCGAUGUUUCAUUCAAAUUUCUGCCCUAUCAACUGUCGAUGGUAAGGUGUUGGCUUACCAUGGUUACAACGGGUGACGGAGAAUUAGGGUUCGAUUCCGGAGAGGGAGCCUGAGAAACGGCUACCACAUCCAAGGAAGGCAGCAGGCGCGCAAAUUACCCAAUCCUGACUCAGGGAGGUAGUGACAAGAACUAACAAUACAGGGCUUUUGUAAGUCUUGUAAUUGGAAUGAGUACAACUUAAAUCCUUUA
rnacentral:rRNA from 1 species